CUUUGUCCAGUCUAAACAAAGCUCAGAAGCUAAGCAAGAUUGGGCCUAGUUAGUAUUGGGAUGGAAUACUACCUGGAAAUAGCAGGGAGCCCAAAAGU
rnacentral:rRNA from 1 species